UAUUCAUAUAAUCAUACAUAAUGGCUGGAACUGGAAGUGCAAGUGCAAGCUCUAGUUCAGUUGCAAAUGUCCGAAAUGAAAAUACCCCCUUUAAAAUUGAUCAAGAUUCACCACUUUGGCAUUAUACAACAAUGAUCAAGCCAGUGUCUGGUGGUGGGGGUUUUGUUUGGCAAUGCAACCAUUGUGGCACUGAGUAUACCAGCUCAUACUAUCGAGUGAAAGGCCACCUUUGUUUCAUCCCUGGGCGUGGAAUAAAAUUUUGUAAGGGAUCAGAUGGCAAGGGGCUGCCAAAAGCUCUAGUUUUGGGAUAUAUUAGAGAACAAGAGGAAGCUGAUAGGAGAAGUAGCAAAGCAAAGACUGAUCAUCCUCUUGUCCAUCAAAGCUCAAUGUCUAAGAGGCCUUCUAGUAGCAUUGGCUCCACAAGACCAGCUGGUUCACAUCCUUUCAUGCAAAACCCACCAGUUGAUGUAGUAGAGAAUCAGAAUGUUGUGGCUUCACGGAAAAGAGGCCCAUUGGAUUUUGCCUUCAAAAAUGAACUGAGAGAGAUUGCAGAUUCCAAAAUUGCACGUUGCCUUUAUGGCAAUGGGCUUCCUUUCAACCUUGUUAGAUCACCUUACUUUCGGGACAUGGUGCAUACUCUUUGCAAUACACCUUCUGAUUAUGUUUGUCCAGGGUAUGAAAAGGUGAGAACCACCUUAUUGGCAAAGGAGAAAGCAUCCAUAGAGUUACAGUUGAAGGUCAUCAAAGAUACAUGGCAGGAAACAGGUGUGACCAUUGUUUCUGAUGGAUGGAAAGAUUGUAAAAAUAGGCCAUUGAUCAAUGUUAUAGCAGUGUGUCCUAAAGGGGCAAUGUUUUUGAAAGCAGUGGAUUGUGAGGGGCAAGUGAAAGAUGCAAGUUUCAUUGCCAAUAUCUUGAUAGAAUGCAUUGACAUGGUGGGGCCUCAAAAUGUUGUCCAAGUUGUAACUGACAAUGCUAAAAAUUGUAGGGCAGCAGGGACUAUAGUGGAGGCUACAUAUGGUCACAUCUUUUGGACACCAUGCGCAGUACACUCACUCAAUUUAAUCAUGCAAAAGCUUGGCACACAAAUUGAUUGGGUGAAAAAACUAUAUGCGGAGGGCGAGGAGAUUCAAAUGUUUGUGACUAAUCAUCAUAUGUCACAAGCCAUUUUCAGGACCUUCUCCAAGUUGGAGUUGUUGAAGGUUGCUGAAACACGAUUUGCAUCUCACACGCUCGUCUUAAGACGACUUCUGAAGGUGCGAGACGCCUUGAGUUCUAUGGUCAUCAACAGCUUGUGGAGUGUAUGGAAGCAGUCCCACACAGAAAGAGCUCUAAAAGUAAGAGCAUUGAUCCUUAGUGAGAAAUGGUGGGAUGAUGUGGAAUAUGUUUUGAAUUUCACUGAGCCCAUCAUGAGCAUGAUCAGGUAUGCUGAUACUGAUCGCCCAUGUUUGGGCGAGAUUUAUGAUGGCAUGGAUUGCAUGGUGGAAAAAAUAAAAGAAGUAAUAAAUAGAAAAGAAAAUGACCCAACGGAAACAUUUUUCAAAGUUGUGUAGAAAAUUGUUGUUGACCGUUGGAACAAGAUGACCACCCCCUUACAUCUCUUAGCAUUUGCUUUGACGCCAAAAUUUUAUAGUGCAGAGAUGCUUGCAACACCAAGGAGGGUGCCACCAUAUAGAGAUGCAGAGGUUGCUUCUGGCUAUAGGGCUGCCUUUAAAAAGAUAUAUCAAGAUGAGGAGACAAGAAAUAUUGUCAUGAGAGAGUUUGGCCAAUUUGUAUCUGCAAAAAAUCAUGAUGUUGUAGCUCUUAAUGCUAGAUAUGGGAUGGAUGCUGAUGAGUGGUGGUAUGUACAUGGUCAAGGCUCCAUUUACUUGCAGCCUCUUGCAAUUAAACUUAACUCCCAAGUUGCAAGUUCUUCUUCAGCUGAGCGGAAUUGGAGUACAUACUCCUUCAUCCACUCAGUCAAACGUAAUCGUUUGGGUGCAAAGAAAGCUGAGGAUUUGGUCUACGUACA